rnacentral:misc_RNA from 1 species
GCUAGCUAACAUGUCAGUCCCACACGUUGAAAAAAGUUUUGAAGAAAAUUGAGCCCAAGUGAGUUGCGGAUGCUGUUAACGAAGCCACCUCAACCAAUGUAUUGUGUUACCCCGCAUGCAGAUUAAAGCCAUAGAUUUUUUUUCAAUCUUCUCGAGUGCCAUGAAUCUCAAAAUAGUACUCAGCAUAGGUUAGCCAUCCCAAUGGGUCCUCGUCUUCAAACAUG